GAUGAACGCUGGCGGCGUGCCUAAUACAUGCAAGUCGAGCGAACAGACGAGGAGCUUGCUCCUCUGACGUUAGCGGCGGACGGGUGAGUCACACGUGGAUCCCCUACCUAUAAGACUGGGAUAACUUCGGGAAACCGGAGCUAAUACCGGAUAAUAUCUUGAACCGCAUGGUUCAAUAGUGAAAUACGGUUUUGCUGUCACUUAUAGAUGGAUCCGCGCCGCAUUAGCUAGUUGGUAAGGUAACGGCUUACCAAGGCAACGAUGCGUAGCCGACCGGAGAGGGUGAUCGGCCACACUGGAACGGAGACACGGUCCAGACGCCUACGGGAGGCAGCAGUAGGGAAUCUUCCGCAAUGGGCGAAAGCCUGACGGAGCAACGCCGCGUGAGUGAUGAAGGUCUUCGGAUCGUAAAACUCUGUUAUUAGGGAAGAACAAAUGUGUAAGUAACUAUGCACGUCUUGACGGUACCUAAUCAGAAAGCCACGGCUAACUACGUG
rnacentral:rRNA from 1 species